rnacentral:rRNA from 1 species
UACGUAGGGGGCUAGCGUUGUCCGGAUUUAUUGGGCGUAAAGAGCGUGUAGGCGGCCAGGUAGGUCUGCUGUGAAAACUCGAGGCUCAACCUCGAGACGUCGGCGGAAACCAUCUGGCUAGAGUCCGGAAGAGGAGAGUGGAAUUCCUGGUGUAGCGGUGAAAUGCGUAGAUAUCAGGAGGAACACCUGUGGUGUAGACAGCUUACUGGACCAUUUCUGACGCUGAGACACGAAAGCGUGGGUAGCAAACAGG